rnacentral:rRNA from 1 species
UACGUAGGUGGCAAGCGUUGUCCGGAUUUACUGGGCGUAAAGAGCGCGCAGGCGGUCGUUCAAGUCGCGUGUGAAAGCCCCCGGCUCAACUGGGGAGGGUCACGCGAUACUGAUCGACUCGAAGGCAGGAGAGGGUAGUGGAAUUCCCGGUGUAGUGGUGAAAUGCGUAGAUAUCGGGAGGAACACCAGCGGCGAAGGCGGCGUCCUGGACUGGUACUGACGCUCAGGAGCGAAAGCGUGGGGAGCGAUCCGG